UACGGAGGGGGCUAGCGUUGUUCGGAAUUACUGGGCGUAAAGCGCACGUAGGCGGCUUUGUAAGUUAGAGGUGAAAGCCCGGAGCUCAACUCCGGAAUUGCCUUUAAGACUGCAUCGCUCGAAUCAUGGAGAGGUGAGUGGAAUUCCGAGUGUAGAGGUGAAAUUCGUAGAUAUUCGCAAGAACACCAGUGGCGAAGGCGGCUCACUGGCCCGGUACUGACGCUGAGGUGCGAAAGCGUGGGGAGCAAACAGG
rnacentral:rRNA from 1 species